CCGCCGCCAGGAAAGUUGGAGUUUGGGGCGUUGAGUCACCGGCUCAGACCCUGCUCGGCCAAGAGCAGCGGGACCCGGGAGCCAGCGAUUGGACUCGGGGGGACCUCGCCAUGGUGGCUGGUGCGCUGGGGCGCCUGGGGCGAGCCGCCGCAGGUCCCUCCUGCACAGG